UUCAGUUGUACCAAGGAGAAGUGAUGCGCUGGCGCCGCCCAUCCAGAAGGAAACCUCAACCGAACCCGACACUCUCCCGAGAAAACCUCCGCCCGCUCCUAAGCGGGUUAUUCUGCCAUCAAUCAGUGCCCCGGAGCAUAACAUCCUAAAAUUGCUCGACGAGUGCAAUGCAUCUGGAAUACAAAGCUGCGACAACUGAUCACAAUUCACAAUCUCUUUUGCAGAAUAGCUGUACAAAGGGCUCGAUGAUCUUUUCUCUAGUAACCUCUCCCCUUUCCUUAUAUCACAAUCAGUUCCACGUCAUUUCAUCGUCAUUUUUCAAUAGCGAAACACACCUCUAAAUUUUCUGUCUCAACUAAUGGUUGCUGCAUCUGAAGCUACAAGUUACAGACAGCUCAGGAGUUUACAGAGGCACAAGCACACAUCACGGUUGCUCGACUUUGGGAUCGAUGAGGCAUUUUUGGUGCCUUCGGUAAGUUCAAAGGUUCAUACAUCGCGCCCUCUACGAGCACGACGAGCGCCUGUGGUGGGCUGAAAAUCAACAGCAAAAACAAGAGAGGUGAUCAAAUGGCCUUUUGAAGGUGGAGAGUGGCCUCUUUUAUCGAUUUGCUUUCUUGGUUAGGUCCUUUGGUAUAGUUGCCGUGAUUUUGUGCGUUACGAUUUCUUUUCUUUUUCUGUGCAAUCGGAUUAAAGUAUAUUUCAUAAUGAUUUUAUAACAAUAAUUUAUUCGAUCUCGGAUCAGUUUCACACUAACUUUAUGUGAUCUCAUAACUACACAUGAAUCAAAU
rnacentral:lncRNA from 1 species